rnacentral:miRNA from 1 species
UGUGUGUGUACAUAUUUGUGUGUAUGUAUGUAUAUGUGUAUACACACAUACACACACACACACACACACACACACACACACACACACACUUAU